rnacentral:rRNA from 1 species
UACGGGGGGGGCAAGCGUUGUUCGGAAUUACUGGGCGUAAAGGGUUCGUAGGUGGCCAACUAAGUCAGACGUGAAAUCCCUCAGCUUAACUGGGGAACUGCGUCUGAUACUGAUUGGCUUGAGUGCAGGAGAGGAACGCGGAAUUCCAGGUGUAGCGGUGAAAUGCGUAGAUAUCAGGAGGAACACCAAUGGCGAAGGCAGCUCGCUGGAACGGUACUGACGCUGAGGCGCGAAAGCGUGGGGAGCAAACAGG